rnacentral:rRNA from 1 species
UACGUAGGGGGCAAGCGUUGUCCGGAUUUAUUGGGCGUAAAGAGCGUGUAGGCGGCCAGGUAGGUCAGCUGUGAAAACUCGAGGCUCAACCUCGAGACGUCGGUUGAAACCACCUGGCUAGAGUCCGGAAGAGGAGAGUGGAAUUCCAGGUGUAGCGGUGAAAUGCGUAGAUAUCUGGAGGAACACCGGUGGCGAAGGCGGCAUCCUGGACCAAUACUGACGCUGAGGAGCGAAAGCCAGGUGAGCAAACGGG